rnacentral:tRNA from 1 species
GCCUGGGUGGCUCAGUGGUUGAGCAUCUGGCUUCGGCUCAGGGUGUGGUCCUGGAGUUGUGGGAUCAAUUCCCAUAUCGGGUU